rnacentral:rRNA from 1 species
AUUGAACGCUGGCGGCAGGCCUAACACAUGCAAGUCGAGCGAGCGGCGGACGGGUGAGUAAUGUCUGGGAAACUGCCUGAUGGAGGGGGAUAACUACGGGAAACGGUAGCUAAUACCGCAUAACAUCAGAUUUGGCCAGGUGGGAUUAGCUAGUAGGUGGGGGAACGGCCCACCUAGGCGACGAACCCUAGCUGGUCUGAGAGGUUGACCAGCCACACUGGAACUGAGACACGGUCCAGACUCCUACGGGAGGCAGCAGUGGGGAAUAUUGGACAAUGGGCGAAAGCCUGAUGCAGCCAUGCCGCGUGAGUGAAGAAGGCCUUCGGGUUGUAAAGCACUUUCAGCGGGGAAGCGUUACCCGCAGAAGAAGCACCGGCUAACUCCGUGCCAGCAGCCGCGGUAAUUC